GCUUGUCUCAAAGAUUAAGCCAUGCAUGUGCUAGUAUAAGCGAUUCAUACUGUGAAACUGCGAAUGGCUCAUUAUAUCAGUUAUCGUUUAUUUGAUAAUACUUUACUACUUGGAUAACCGUAGUAAUUCUAGAGCUAAUACAUGCAUUAAACCCCGACUUCUGGAAGGGGUGUAUUUAUUAGAUGGAAACCAAUGCGGGGCAACCCGGAAUAUGGUGAUUCAUAAUAACUUUCGGAUCGAUUUAUCGAUGCAUCAUUCAAGUUUCUGCCCUAUCAGCUUUGGAUGGUAGGGUAUUGGCCUACCAUGGCUUUAACGGGUAACGGAGAAUUAGGGUUCGAUUCCGGAGAGGGAGCCUGAGAAAUGGCUACCACAUCCAAGGAAGGCAGCAGG
rnacentral:rRNA from 1 species